UUGUACACUUGAAGAGAAUUGUGAUUCUCUUGUUGUAAGGAACUUGUGUUUCCUUGGUCGAGUCUUGGAGUGUUGUAUCUCCGAGCAAGAUUGUUGAGGCUUGUGUACUCAGAUUGUAAAGGUUCGUUAGGCACCCGUAAGCUUAACAGUGAAGUCUUGGAGUGUUGUAUCUCCGAGCAAAGGUGUUAAGGCUUGUGUCCUUAAGUUGUAAAN
rnacentral:lncRNA from 1 species